ensembl:lncRNA
UGCGCAGGAUGUGAUGUCGCACCUGCCAGGCUGCUCUUCAGGUCAGACAUGUGCUUGGACGUAGAUUUGCUCGUCUGUGCUGCGUAAAAAAGCUAUGUCAGUCUUGUUUAGAUGGUGUUACCGUGGACACACAAGCAGGUCUGUCAGUAAUGACCCUGGUGUGGCCGUGUCUCCUGCUGUUGUAAUUCAGUGGAGCGCUCAGGAACAGCAGACCCUGUGUCUUUGUGCCGUGACACCUAAGGACUUUAAUCAGCUGUAUCGGUAGCGGGGCAGAACAGCCAAGAGACCAGACAGCUGCAAACUGAUGUAAAGGCAAAGGCACAGACACAGGCACAGGCACAGGCACAGGCACAGGCACAGGCACAGGCACAGGCACAGGCACAGGCACAGGCACAGGCACAGACACAGGCACAGACAAAGGCACAGGCACAGGCACAGGCACAGACAAAGGCACAGGCACAGGCAAAGGCACAGGCACAGGCACAGACACAGGCACAGACAAAGGCACAGGCACAGGCAAAGGCACAGGCACAGGCACAGGCACAGGCACAGGCAAAGGCACAGGCACAGGCACAGGCAAAGGCAAAGGCACAGGCACAGGCACAGGCACAGGCACAGGCACAGGCACAGGCAAAGGCAAAGGCACAGGCAAAGGCACAGGCACAGGCACAGGCACAGGUACAGGUCAGGUAUUUAGUGACUUGAAGAGACACCUUGCAGUGGUCGGGAAUCAAACCCGGGUCGUGUGCUUGCAGGGUGAUGUAAUACAGUGAAUAGAACGAGGAGGAAAAGAAUCGGACAAUGGCAGCACAACUCUUCAAAUCUUUGUGAAUGCAAAACAAACAGAGAGAGAUUGAGUGAGAGAGAGAGAGAGAGAGAGAGAGAGAGAGAGAGAGAGAGAGAGAGAGAUUGAGUGAGAGAGAGUGAGAGAGAUAGAGAGAUUGAGUGAGACUGAGAGAGAGAGAGAGUGAGAGAGAGAGAGAGUUAGAGAGA